rnacentral:rRNA from 1 species
UACGAAGGGGGCUAGCGUUGCUCGGAAUUACUGGGCGUAAGGGGCGCGUAGGCGGACAACUUAGUCAGAGGUGAAAGCCCAGGGCUCAACCUUGGAAUUGCCUUUGAUACUGGUUGUCUUGAGUUCGGGAGAGGUGAGUGGAAUGCCGAGUGUAGAGGUGAAAUUCGUAGAUAUUCGCAAGAACACCAGUGGCGAAGGCGGCUCACUGGCCCGGUACUGACGCUGAGGCACGAAAGCGUGGGGAGCAAACAGG